AGUGAACGCUGGCGGUAGGCCUAACACAUGCAAGUCGAACGGCAGCACAGUAAGAGCUUGCUCUUACGGGUGGCGAGUGGCGGACGGGUGAGGAAUACAUCGGAAUCUACUUUUUCGUGGGGGAUAACGUAGGGAAACUUACGCUAAUACCGCAUACGACCUACGGGUGAAAGCAGGGGAUCUUCGGACCUUGCGCGAUUGAAUGAGCCGAUGUCGGAUUAGCUAGUUGGCGGGGUAAAGGCCCACCAAGGCGACGAUCCGUAGCUGGUCUGAGAGGAUGAUCAGCCACACUGGAACUGAGACACGGUCCAGACUCCUACGGGAGGCAGCAGUGGGGAAUAUUCGACAAUGGGCGCAAGCCUGAUCCAGCCAUACCGCGUGGGUGAAGAAGGCCUUCGGGUUGUAAAGCCCUUUUGUUGGGAAAGAAAAGCAGCAGGUUAAUACCCCGCUGUUCUGACGGUACCCAAAGAAUAAGCCCCGGCUAACUUCGUG
rnacentral:rRNA from 1 species